GAAGUAAAAGUCGUAACAAGGUUUCCGUAGGUGAACCUGCGGAAGGAUCAUACUGAAUCGUCAACACGAGUUGUUGCUGGUCCUCAAAACGGGGGCAUGUGCACGCUCUGUUUACGCAUCCACUCACACCUGUGCACCCUCUGUAGUUCCAUGGCGUGGGGGACUCUGUCCUCCUGUUGUGGUCCUACGUCUUUACACACACUCUGUAACAAAGUCUCAUGGAAUGCAUGGCGCGUUUAACGCAAUACAAUACAACUUUCAGCAACGGAUCUCUUGGCUCUCGCAUCGAUGAAGAACGCAGCGAAAUGCGAUAAGUAAUGUGAAUUGCAGAAUUCAGUGAAUCAUCGAAUCUUUGAACGCACCUUGCGCCCUUUGGCUAUUCCGAAGGGCAUGCCUGUUUGAGUAUCAUGAACACCUCAACUCUCAUGGUUUGCCAUGAUGAGCUUGGACUUUGGAGGUCUUGCUGGCCUGUGGUCAGCUCCUCUCAAAUGGAUCAGCUUGCCAGUGUUUGGUGGCAUCACGGGUGUGAUAACUAUCUACGCCUGUGGUUUUCUACCAGAUAACCUUCAGCAAUGGAGGUUCACCGGAGCUCAUAAAUGUCUCUCCCCAGUGAAGACAGCUUUUUUGAACGUUUGAUCUCAAAUCAGGUAGGACUACCCGCUGAACUUAAGCAU
rnacentral:rRNA from 1 species